GCAUUCUAAGGGAAGAAGAAAGAACCUUGUCAGCUGAGGAGAUUCCAUGCCUUUCUUCCCCGGUGCAGGUCAGUCCAAACUUACCCGAUGUUUCAGAAUAUGAAUUUGUUUCUUCACAUGCUCUACACAUGUGUAUUCGCCCCUGCUGUGGACCAGGCAUGAAGCCAGGAGUUAAGGCCCCAAUAAUAAAUGAGCUGUUGUUGUCCUGAGAGAGCUCAGGGUCAGUGGUACAACAGACAUCCACAGGCCAAGAGGAAGGCCGAGACUGGUGGGCAGAUUUGUUAGGUACCAUGCUCAGAACUUUCCAUAAUGAUCUUUAGCUCUGAACAGCCCUGUGAGCAUUAUCCUCAUUUUCACAGCUGAGGAAGCUCCAAGAGGUCAAGUGAUACACUCAACGAUCAGGCAGCACCAGCUACCGCGAAACCGUGGUCUGCCGAGGCCUGCAUUCUGGCACAAUCUAGGCUGUUUCCCAAAUCAUUUCAAUGUAACAGGUACAGAUCUACGGGGGGUAGAUGGUUCCUACAAGCACAGGGGGCACAGGACUCUGUUGAGAAGGGAUGGGGGGCCCUACCCCAGUCCUGAGGCCUCAGGGGCUAUCCCUCUGGAAAGCGCUGAAGGCUAAAGGAGCAGAGUUUGCAAAGCACCUGCGGGGCCAUGGACAGACACAUCUGGGACACAGAAUGUCAGCCUUGCUACGCUGGGAAAUGACAAACAAGUCAGAAGAGCUGAACGUGCCGGGUGCCUGCAACAGCAAAGGAUCAGUAAGGGAGGCUGUGUCUAAGAGGCUGCCUCCAGCUGGGUGAGAAGAGGACUUGUGGCGAUCAGGCUCUGCUGAACCCUCUACAACAUUCCAGGCAACAAGUGAUGAGGACAUCCACUGAGACCAAGGUACCUCUAUCAGCGUUCUUUUGGUGGCAAGAAAAGAGACCCAACACACACUGGGGCAAAGCAGAAAGACUGACCAGGAGGAUGCUGGGAUUGCUCAAGAAUGAAGAGAAAAGAGCAGAGUGGCCAAGGCUGGGGAGGGGCAGGAGUGGUGGCUGCCCAGGGCCCCCGGCAGCAGGAACCAGGUGCUGGCAGGGCUUUUCUCCAUUUCAUCUCCUGGGCCUGGCUUCCCCUCAUCAACACAGCUCCCCUGACUCUGGGAGAGGGGCCUCUGACUGAGGCAGGCUCUGUGGCCAGCUGCGGUGGGGUGGCAUCUCUAAGACUAGCCCAGCAAGGGUCACAGGUAAGUCCCCUGAGGCCCAGGGGGAAGUGUAGGGAGAGGAGACCUCCAGAACCAGGACUAGACUGUGGGGGAUAUUGAGAGAUCAAGUCUGUCAAUUCCUGGUUGGGAUAGGAGGAGGUUGUGAGUCCAGACAGGGUGUACCGGUCUGAGAGUCCUUCACCCACAAAAGUGUCAAAAGCUAGAAGGGCUCAAAACAGGAAGGGAAAAGAAACUCCAGCAUCCUUCAGGAAAACAGAGAGAAAGUUCUUUUGACAUCUAGAUUGUCUUGUUGUGCAAAGCCCUCUCUUUUCACUCUACAGCUCCUCCUUUAGCUACUCUUAGAGCUUUCACUUACCAUCCUCAGACCAGCACCUCCUAGUAGGUCUCCAGGUGGACUUUUCUGGAAGGAAGUGCUAAGUGGACUAAACCAAGGGAUUUUCAGGUGCGCUGUAUUACCUUCUUUGAAGAUCUGGUUGGUCUGUUCACUGGCUCAUCCUGACAAAGGGCACAAACCCAGACAGAGCUGCAGCCCUCACUCUGCUUGUCCCCACAUGGUCUGGUCAGGGUCACAGCUCCUGCCCAGCCUGCCUUGCUGUGCUUUCUCAGCAGAGCAGCAAACGCCUCAUAGGGGUGGGUGUGGCGGCAGCCCUCAAAGCCAGACAGCAGCAUUCCUGAGGCUACAUCUGCUCAUCUGGUUUACAAAAUCAUUCCAAAAGAUGAGGAAUCUCUGGCAUGGCCAGCCUCCUCACCCCAUUUCAUCCCGACGUGACUGACACAAUGGACGUGUCAUAAGGUGCCACCACAGGGUGCAGACACGCAGAACCAAAGGCGGGGAGAGGCACACUAGCAUAUAAACAGCUUCUGGAAAAUGGUCACGUACAUUCUGCUUAAGCUUUGCUUCCCAGCAAAGCCAAAAAAAGGAGGAAAUUAAAGUCUGUGUAGGGAGUGACAGAAAUGAAAACAACAGAUUGCAAGGAUUCCAUUUUCAUUUCUUGAAAAAGCUGACACAGGGAGGCAGGAGGGUCAAGGGAAAAAGGAAAACAGUCCCAAAGUACCAUUUAUCUAGCUAGGGCUGCCAGAUGAUUCCCCAGUGCUGCAGGCACUCUGGGCCUCCUACAUCAAGACAGUUAUUCACAACCUCAGGGCUGAGGCUGGCUAAAGUGGGUAUGCAGAACAUUCUGUUCCUUUAGUCAAUGGUCUUACUGUUUUACAAGGAUAAGCUCAUGGAGCUUAAAUAUACAAAAUAGGGGAGAAAUACAGAAAGCUAUCUGAAGACUAUCACAGUUCAGACUUUCAGAGCAGCUGACACGGCAGGCAGGCGGAGCAGAGCCACCAAGGGCAACCCGUGGCCGUCCUCCUCUGAAAGCUAAGGUGCAGCAGCACCUCCUUGGGAGUCACCAACAGUGGCGCCUGUACUUGCAACGGCUGGGUGAGAAUCUGUUCCCGUUCUGACUGGCUGGAGUGGGGAGAGAUCCAUGGACUUUUGUCCCUAACGUGUUACAUAGGACACAAUAUAAGCAGGGUGAUUUGGAAUUUGGGAAAAGGCUGACCUAAUAUAGGAGAUACACACACACACACACACACACACACACACACACACACACACACUUAUUGUUUUUCUUUCAGUUAUAUUUUCUAUUCCCUUCCCAGUCUUGGUUUCCAGAAGAGGAACCGGAGAAUGAUAAAGAGGACAGUGUCCUUCUCCAACAUUCCCAUAUCAGAGUACCUGCAAGUUACCUUUCCAUCCCAGCCAACUCUCAAAUACUGUUCAAGGACUUAAAAAAAAAAAUGCUUCUCUCUGAGAUCAAGAGAAGUGGCUGCUGACUACCCUAUAUAUAGUAGCUGAGUAAGGUCAGAAAACCGACUGUGGCAAAGGGCCUGGAGGCAGCUGUCCCCACGCAGGUCUAGAUAUCUAAUGACAGGCCCAGAGUUCACCCCCAGAGAUCUCAUCUAAAACAUCAUAGCAGCAUGUGGAUGAACCUACCUACAGCUUUCCCAGGCUCCCCCUGGCUGCCCGCAAGCCACUUACCCAGCAGACGAGACCCCAUCUGCUCCUUUAUGUUCCUGCAACCGCCAAGUGCUUCCCACCCCCGCACAACCAUGCUGCUCCCUGCUCUGGGCCCAUCUGCAACACCCUCCCUGUUGGCCCGUGCUUUCCUUUCCCUGGCCAUCCCCCCCACAGGUGAUACAAGACGGAGUCCUGGAGUCAGACAUGGGGUUUGAAUCUAGAAGUCCUAGGGCAAGUCUCUGAAUCUUAGCUGCAAGGAUUCGGGGAGAUAAAGCACAACCCAGCCCAUUCGUCUGCCGGGCCUCAACGGGAGCAUCCGUUACUGAAAUGUCAAUAUGCUGAGGUAAGUCCUUGCCCCUCUCCAUCAGACUGUGAACUACCUGAGACCAGGCACCCUGUCUUUUAUUUGUCCCGGCACUUUGACCAGAGCCUUAUAAAUCAGAGAUGUUCCAUCAGCGCUGGCUGUGCUAUGGUACCAACCGACAGAUGCAGCAGGGAUGGGGUUACCACAACUCUGGGUGCCUCUCGGCCUUCUUCCAUGGAACUGAGCCCCCAUGCAGAUGAUAUACUGGUGUCGUGUGCUCCGUGUGCAGGUGCUGAGAAGGAGGAAGCUCCAUAGGACGUGCCUGCAUUUGUCCUUGGUACUAUGCCGAAGUCAAUGCACAUGUGUGCAAGGGAAAUGGCGGCAGCUCUACAGACUCAUCUGUACGAGGCAGGGGGCGGUGACUGACUCUGGGCCUGUGUCCCGGCACAAAGUUCCUGGGGCCGAGAGGCUCACCGCGUUCACCAAAGUAGAUGGAACUAACCUGGAGAACCCAGGCCCCGUGCUCUAUGCUGACUGCUCAGCAUCGUGGAACUUGCUUUCUCUCACUCUGGCUAACAUGAGCAAACAGCAAAGCCACAGACCUCGCGAUGCCUCUCAGGCGCACAGCAACCCCAGAACAAGCUGAGGGAGCCAUUCGGCACUGCACCCAGUUACUUAUGAGUAUUCCAGGAGGCUCUGGCCCGUCAACGCUCACCUGAAUCUCCUUCAGAAGCCUAUUUAGGGGAAAUCAGGCCCUGGAGACCAGAGUCUUGUGAAGCCUGCCCUUUUCAGACUUUCAACCCGGGGCUGAACCAGAACUCCACUGAAGGCUGUGGGGGCCUGUUGCCCCCCAAAUUCAGAGGCUGCAGAGACCACAUGGAAAACACUAAUGAUGGCAAAGUGACGGCAGUGCAGGAGUUACAAGGAUGAACCCUCGAGCGGCCUGUCUGGGUUCGCAUUCUGGCUCAGCCACUUACUUACCAGCCU